rnacentral:rRNA from 1 species
CCUACGGGAGGCAGCAGUAGGGAAUUUUCGUCAAUGGGCGCAAGCCUGAACGAGCAAUGCCGCGUGAACGAGGAAGGUCUUCGGAUCGUAAAGUUCUGUUGAAGGGGAAAAAGAGCGGAGAGAGGAAAUGCGUUCGGAUGGAGAUUACCCUUCGAGGAAGGCACGGCCGACUACGUGCCAGCAGCCGCGGUAAUACGUAGGUGGCGAGCGUGAGCCGGAAGGAUUGGGCGUAAAGGGUGCGUCUGCGGCCUGCUCAGUCGGGCGUGAACGCGACGGGCGCAACCGGUACAGGCUCUGGAAACUGGCGGGCUGGAGAGCGGGAGAGGGCGGUGGAACUCCAUGUGUAGCGGUAAAAUGCGUAGAUAUAUGGAAGAACACCAGUGGCGCCGGCGGCCGACUGGCCUGUUACUGACGCUGUGGCACGAACGCGUGGGGAGCAAAUAGGAUUAGAUACCCCUGUAGUC